GAGCCCGUAGUCUAGCGGUUAUGACGUCUCCAUGACAUGGAGGAGGUCACAGGUUCAAAUCCUGUCGGGCUCA
rnacentral:tRNA from 1 species